CCUACGGGAGGCAGCAGUGGGGAAUAUUGCACAAUGGGGGAAACCCUGAUGCAGCGACGCCGCGUGAAGGAAGAAGGAUUUCGGUAUGUAAACUUCUAUCAGCAGGGAAGAAAAUGACGUUACCUGACUAAGACUCCCCUGCUAACUACGUGCCAGAAGCCGCGGUAAUACGGAGGGGGCAAGCGUUAACCGGAUUUGCUGGGUGUAACGGGAGCGUAGACGGCAUGGCAAGUCUGGGGUGAAAGACAGGGGCUCAACCCCUGGACUGCAUUUGAAACUGUCAGGCUGGAGUGCAGGAGAGGUAAGUGGAAUUCCUAGUGUAGCGGUGAAAUGCGUAGAUAUUAGGAGGAACACCAGUGGCGAAGGCGACUUACUGGACUGUAACUGACGCUGAGGCUCGAAAGCGUGGGGAGCAAACAGGAUUAGAUACCCCAGUAGUC
rnacentral:rRNA from 1 species